rnacentral:rRNA from 1 species
GACGAACGCUGGCGGCGUGCUUAACACAUGCAAGUCGAACGGAAAGGCCCUGCUUUUGUGGGGUGCUCGAGUGGCGAACGGGUGAGUAACACGUGAGUAACCUGCCCUUGACUUUGGGAUAACUUCAGGAAACUGGGGCUAAUACCGGAUAGGAGCUCCUGCUGCAUGGUGGGGGUUGGAAAGUUUCGGCGGUUGGGGAUGGACUCGCGGCUUAUCAGCUUGUUGGCGGGGUAGUGGCUUACCAAGGCUUUGACGGGUAGCCGGCCUGAGAGGGUGACCGGCCACAUUGGGACUGAGAUACGGCCCAGACUCCUACGGGAGGCAGCAGUGGGGAAUAUUGAACAAUGGGCGGAAGCCUGAUGCAGCAACGCCGCGUGCGGGAUGACGGCCUUCGGGUUGUAAACCGCUUUCGCCUGUGACGAAGCGUGAGUGACGGUAAUGGGUAAAGAAGCACCGGCUAACUACGUG